AGAGUGAACGCUGGCGGCAGGCCUAACACAUGCAAGUCGAACGGCAGCACGAGAGAGCUUGCUCUCUUGGUGGCGAGUGGCGGACGGGUGAGGAAUACGUCGGAAUCUGCCUUUUUGUGGGGGAUAACGUAGGGAAACUUACGCUAAUACCGCAUACGACCUACGGGUGAAAGCGGAGGACCUUCGGGCUUCGCGCAGAAAGAUGAGCCGACGUCGGAUUAGCUAGUUGGAGGGGUAAUGGCCCACCAAGGCGACGAUCCGUAGCUGGUCUGAGAGGAUGAUCAGCCACACUGGGACUGAGACACGGCCCAGACUCCUACGGGAGCAGCAGGUGGGAAUAUGGACAAGUGGGCGCAAGCCUGAUCCAGCCAUGCCGCGUGUGUGAAGAAGGCCUUGGUUGUAAAGCUACGUUUUUGUACGGGUAACGAAAAGUCUUACUUUACUAAUAAAGAGGAUCAGUGACGGUAACCUAAGAAUAAGCACCGGACUAACUACGUGACCAG
rnacentral:rRNA from 1 species